rnacentral:rRNA from 1 species
GACGAACGCUGGCGGCGUGCUUAACACAUGCAAGUCGAACGGGCCCGCUCUCUUUUUUGGUGGUGGGUUGAGUGGCGAACGGGUGAGUAUCACGGGAGUAACCUGCCCCCUGCGGCUGGCUAACUGCUUGAAAGGGCGGCUAAUACGGGGUGUGCCGGCUGGUCCGCAUGGGCCUGGGCGGGAUAGGUUCAUCUUCGGGUGUUUCGGGGGUGGGUGGGCUCGCGGCCUAUCAGCUUGUUGGGGGGGUGAUGGCUCACCAAGGCGGUGACGGGUUGACGGACUGGGUGGGUGGGCGGCCAGACUGGGAGUCAGGCACGGCACAGAUACGUGCGGGAGGCAGCAGUGGGGGGUAUUGCAGAGUGGACGGAAGCCUGAGGCAGCGACGGCGCGUGAGGGAUGGAGGCCUUCGGGUUGUGAACCUAUUUCUGCGGGGGGGAAGGUCCGGUCCGUUGCGGCGGGGUUGACGGUAGCCGGAGAUGAAGCGCCGGCUAACUACGUG